rnacentral:rRNA from 1 species
AGCAGUCGCCGCGGUAAUACGUAGAUGGCAAGCGUUGUCCGGAAUUAUUGGGCGUAAAGGGCUCGCAGGCGGUUUCUUAAGUCUGAUGUGAAAGCCCCCGGCUCAACCGGGGAGGGUCAUUGGAAACUGGGAAACUUGAGUGCAGAAGAGGAGAGUGGAAUUCCACGUGUAGCGGUGAAAUGCGUAGAGAUGUGGAGGAACACCAGUGGCGAAGGCGACUCUCUGGUCUGUAACUGACGCUGAGGAGCGAAAGCGUGGGGAGCGAACAGGAUUAGAUACCCCUGUAGUCCCUGUCUCUUAUAC